rnacentral:lncRNA from 1 species
GGGGCUCGGCGCCGCGGCGCGGGUGCCCCCGUCCCCACCCCCGCGCACGCCCGGCGCGCCUGGAUGGACUCCCGGGGGCUCGCGCUGCGGAGAUCCACUUGUCAGUUCAAGGGCAGGACAGAAACUCUGCAAGCGGAGUCUUGCGAACAGGAAAUUUCUCAUUGACAAGGACCAGCAGGUCUCAGCUGCUUGGUUCACCAUGGGAACCUAAGAAUGCAUCCCCUGAAUGCAGAGUUGCCUUCCUCCCAGGCUGCUUCCAAGGAUACACAAAACCCAGCAAAGAUAAAUAGAAGACGUGGAACGUGA